CGUCCACCAGCUGAACCGAGCACACCACCCUGCUAAGGUGGAGUCCUCGCAAGGGGACCGAGGGUUCAAAUCCCUCCGUCUCCGCCA
rnacentral:tRNA from 1 species